rnacentral:tRNA from 1 species
GGAGGGAUGUGGUUCUGUGGUAGAGCAUCUGCUUGGCAUGCAGAAGGCCACAGAUUCAAUCUGGGGCAUCUCCA